CUUCCCAAGGGGCGCUGCAGCUGGCGCCUGCCCUCAGACAGGCAGGCCUCCGGUCAGGCUUGGGACUCCCAACUGCGCUCACUUGUU
rnacentral:ncRNA from 2 species